rnacentral:rRNA from 1 species
AGCGAACGCUGGCGGCAGGCCUAACACAUGCAAGUCGAGCGCUCGUAGCAAUACGAGAGCGGCAGACGGGAGAGUAACACGUGGGAACGUGCCCUUCGGUUCGGAAUAACUCAGGGAAACUUGAGCUAAUACCGGAUACGCCCUUACGGGAAAGAUUAUUGCCGAAGGAGCGGCCCGCGUCUGAUUAGCUAGUUGGUGAGGUAACGGCUCACCAAGGCGACGAUCAGUAGCUGGUCUGAGAGGAUGACCAGCCUCACUGGGACUGAGACACGGCCCAGACUCCUACGGGAGGCAGCAGUGGGGAAUAUUGGACAAUGGGCGCAAGCCUGAUCCAGCCAUGCCGCGUGGAUGAUGAAGGCCCUAGGGUUGUAAAGUCCUUUCAGCGGGGAAGAUAAUGACGGUACCCGCAGAAGAAGCCCCGGCUAACUUCGUGCCAGCCGCCGCCGUAAU